CACGUAGGGCGCAAGCGUUGUCCGGAAUCAUUGGGCGUAAAGCGCGCGUAGGCGGCCCGGUAAGUCCGCUGUGAAAGUCAAAGGCUCAACCUUUGAAUGUCAGCGGAUACUGCCGGGCUAGAGUCCGGAAGAGGCGAGUGGAACUCCUGGUGUAGCGGUGGAAUGCGCAGAUAUCAGGAAGAACACCAACGGCGAAGGCAGCUCGCUGGGACGGAACUGACGCUAAGGCGCGAAAGCGUGGGGAGCGAACAGG
rnacentral:rRNA from 1 species